UGGUGCAUGGUUGUCGUCAGCUCGUGUCGUGAGAUGUUGGGUUAAGUCCCGCAACGAGCGCAACCCUUGUCUUUAGUUACCAUCAUUCAGUUGGGGACUCUAAAGAGACUGCCGGUGGACAACCGGAGGAAGGUGGGGAUGACGUCAAAUCAUCAUGCCCCUUAUGACCUGGGCUACACACGUACUACAAUGGCGCAUACAACGGGAAGCGAAGUGGUGACAUGGAGCAAAUCUCAAAAAGUGCGUCUCAGUUCAGAUUGAAGUCUGCAACUCGACUUCAUGAAGUCGGAAUCGCUAGUAAUCGCGGAUCAGAAUGCCGCGGUGAAUACGUUCUCGGGCCUU
rnacentral:rRNA from 1 species